GAAGCCAUGUAUGAUUCAGCACCAGAAGAGGACAUGUAUGUGGAGCAAGAGCAACAAGAUAAUGAGCAAGUUCGUCAUGAAGACAAAUACAAGAAUUUAACAGAUUUGCAAAGGACUGGUAUUUAUGAAGAGUUGCUAGCAAGAAGUGUCAAUCGGAAAUUAAAGAAGACCACAACCAGAGAAGUUGCAAACAUGUUCCAUGUUUCGGUGCAGAAGGUCAGACGUGUUUGGAGGAGAGUGAAGGAGUGCCUUCGACAAGGCGUACCCGUUGAUGUAAGAUCAAGGAAGCCGAAAAACUGUGGGCGCAAAAGGAUUGUAGUUGACCUCAGUAUGGUUCCUGAGAUU
rnacentral:rRNA from 1 species